CAUCAGACUGGAGGAGUGUUCCAGCUCAGACAGUAACAGGACAGGGAAGGACAUCAGACUGGAGGAGUGUUCCAGCUCAGACAGGUAACAGGACAGGGAAGGACAUCAAACUGGGGGAGUGUUCCAGCUCAGACAGGUAACAGGACAGGGAAGACAUCAGACUGGAGGAGUGUUCCAGCUCAGACAGUAACAGGACAGGGAAGGACAUCAGACUGGAGGAGUGUUCCAGCUCAGACAGGUAACGGACAGGGAAGGACAUCGGUACUGGAGGAGUGUUCCAGCUCAGACAGGGUCACUCGCGCAGGCUGCAGGUGUGUGUGAAGCAGGUCAGGACUCUGGGACUCUGCCUCUGCUGGUGGAGGCUGUUCUGUCUGUCUCUAUCGGCUGUGUGUCAGCACGCUCCACCAAGCUACAGAGAGCCCUGGACAGCUACCAGUUUUCAGAUGGAGGAUCCUCAGGCUAUCAUGUCAAAGCUGUCUGGUGUAGGGAAAGAAAGGAGCCAGUCAUCAAUUAUUCCACUGGYGGGAGACAUCUGUAGAAUGACGGAACCAUAGAAAUAUAUUCAUCUGCUAUGUAGAAAAGUCAACAUAUUUUUCUGUUGUGUAUCAAUCGAAUCCAUUGAGUGAUCUGAUUAGGCUGUCCUCUAGUUGGACWACAAUUUUUCACCUUAAGUUGACUACAGCGUUUCCGCUGCAGCCAUUUUAGCUGUGGCGCUYCGCCACACCAAAAUCGUUGCUGCCACGCCCCCCAAAAAAAUAUGUAACAUAAAACAAAUAUUUCUGCUGAGGCGAACUUUGAAGAGGCUAGAACAUUCUACAUUCACUUUUCCUCUUCAAGCAAAACGAGUCAUGAAUAGAAUCUAUGUACA